rnacentral:rRNA from 1 species
GAAAUCCUGUCUGAACGUGGGGGGACCACCCUCCAAGCCUAAGUACUCCUCAGCGACCGAUAGUGAACAAGUACCGUGAGGGAAAGGUGAAAAGCACCCCGACGAGGGGAGUGAAAUAGCACCUGAAACCGAAUGCUUACAAACAGUGGGAGCUCAAGAUUCGUUCUGGGUGACCGCGUACCUUUUGUAUAAUGGGUCAGCGACUUAAUCUGACGAGCAAGCUUAAGCCGGUAGGUGUAGGCGCAGCGAAAGCGAGUCUGAACAGGGCGUUCAGUUCGUCGGAUUAGACCCGAAACCGGGUGAUCUAGCCAUGAGCAGGUUGAAGGUAAGGUAACACUUACUGGAGGACCGAACCGGUGCCUGUUGAAAAAGUCUCGGAUGACUUGUGGCUAGGGGUGAAAGGCCAAUCAAACUCGGAAAUAGCUGGUUCUCCGCGAAAGCUAUUUAGGUAGCGCCUCGUGUGAAUACUCCGGGGGGUAGAGCACUGGAUGGGUGAGGGGUGCUUACCGCAUUACCAAUCCUAACCAAACUCCGAAUACCCGGAAGUACUGCACGGGAGACACACGGCGGGUGCUAACGUCCGUCGUGGAGAGGGAAACAACCCUGACUUACAGCUAAGGCCCCCAAUUCGUGGCUAAGUGUGAAAGGAUGUGGGAAUCCCAAAACAACCAGGAGGUUGGCUUAGAAGCAGCCAUCCUUUAAAGAAAGCGUAACAGCUCACUGGUCUAAACAAGGGUUCCUGCGCCGAAAAUGUAUCGGGGCUCAAGCCACGAGCCGAAGCUUAAGGUUUGCACUUUGUGCAAGCGGUAGCGGAGCGUUCCAUAAGCCAACGAAGGCGGACCCGUGAGGGCUGCUGGAGGUAUUGGAAGUGCGAAUGCUGACAUGAGUAACGACAAACAGUGUGAAAGACACUGUCGCCGAAAGUCCAAGGGUUCCUGCGUAAAGUUAAUCUCCGCAGGGUUAGCCGGCCCCUAAGGCGAGGCCGAAAGGCGUAGUCGAUGGGAAUGAGGUGAAUAUUCCUCAGCCAGUUGGUAGUGACGGAUCGCGUACGCUGUCAGAUCUUAUUGGAUUGAUCUGGCUUCCAAGCGGUUCCAGGAAAUAGCUCCAACAUGAGACCGUACCCGAAACCGACACAGGUGGACUGGUAGAGUAUACCAAGGCGCUUGAGAGAACUAUGCUGAAGGAACUCGGCAAUUUACCUCCGUAACUUCGGGAUAAGGAGGCCCAGUGCUUAGGCAACUAGGCAUUGGGGGCACAGACCAGGGGGUAGCGACUGUUUAACUAAAACACAGGGCUCUGCGAAAUCGUAAGAUGACGUAUAGGGUCUGACGCCUGCCCGGUGCCGGAAGGUUAAAAGGAGGUGUGCAAGCACCGAAUUGAAGCCCCGGUAAACGGCGGCCGUAACUAUAACGGUCCUAAGGUAGCGAAAUUCCUUGUCGGGUAAGUUCCGACCUGCACGAAUGGCGUAACGACUUCCCCGCUGUCUCCAGCAUAGACUCAGUGAAA